GCUAUGAAGAUUAUCUUAAGAAGACUGAAAUGUUGGGAGUCAAUUCCAAGGCCUGGCUUGGCAAAGACAACUUGGAAGGUCUGUGAAGGACGAAGAGAAAUAAUAGGUUUCUUUUCCUUCUCAAGAGGCAACCAAUAAUUGCAGCCAUGGCUGGUUUAGCUCUGCUCUUUGAUUAAAUAGGCGAAAAUCUGAGCCUCCUUACCUCAGUUUUAACUUACGGUUGAUCGCUGGAACAGUAUCUUUUAGAAGUUUGCUUGAAUUGAUCUGAAAAUUUAGGUACUGAUUUCAUGAAAAUACAAAAGACCAAAACAGGUCAGUUCACACUUGAAAGACUACUUUGAACCUACUCUCAAACUAAGUUGCUCGGACUCUCCAAAAAUGUUGCCGCACCCGUGUCGGAUCCUUCAAAAUACACUAUUUUUGGACACGGAUCCUUCAAAAAUACACUAUUUUUGGAGGAUCCGACACACAUCCGUAUACAUUUUUGAAGAGUCCAAGCAACUUAGCUCUCAAACAUAAGGGACCAUUUUUGACAUUUCUUCUAUUCUAGACGUUUGUGUCUUAUUUGCCUCCGUCUUCUCGACAUAGCAAAAGCUCAGAAUGGAGAGAAUGAGGCCCCGGAGAGUUGGAGGAUUUCGUUGAAAGGAUGGUUGCCUCUCUCUGCAUUAGCCAAUGAUUUCUCCGUUACUGUAAAAACAUCAACAGCCUUUUCUUAGCUCUUUUGGACUUCACUCUUUCUGAUUAAAAAGCAAUCCCAAGAAAUAGCUAUUUAUUGCAUAUACAGACCUCUCAAAAAUGGCCAUCCUCUGCAAAAACAUUUCAUUAUUCCCUUUCAGAGGGAGUAUGAUCAGUAUGCAUUUGGAGUUGUGGAGUUUGGUGCUGUAUGCUAACACCAUGUGUUUUUCUGUUACUUUCUUUCUUUCUUUUGUGACUUCGCUGGAGCAUUGGUGGUGACUGGUGAGUAUAAUUGGCAGCUAAAAAAUGGCGAUGAUGAUUUCUGUGAUUUUUUCAUGGGAAAGGGUCAAAUUCGCCCCUCUUCUAUUCAAAUAGCACUAAUUUUGCCUCCCUUUUGAGCUUAUUAGUCGGGCAUUUGAGAUUAUCCGACCCGUAUCUUUGCGGGGCAUGACCCCAGAUUUUCUGGUGGUUUUUGCAGCCAUGGUGUCGCUGGAUUCUCUGUCAUGCGCGAGUUUAAACACAAAUCUGAGCCUCAAUUUCUGGGAAACUGGAAGUAUUUGACCCGAUUUUUGAACUCCCAUCAAAUCCUUGGCUUGCUCAGGAAAUGGGCAUUCACUUCCAAGAGGAAAUAAUUAUGGACAUCCUUAGCAGGUUACCUGUGUAGUCUCUUCUUUCGAUUCAAAUGUUUCAAAACCUUGGAAGAAACUAACCUCUGAUCCUUACUUUAUAAGGAAGCAUCUCAAUCACGCCAAGAAUUAUCAAAUUUCCCAGAAAUUUCUUCUUUAUCGUCAACUCAACUGGUUGAGGAUGUACAAAAACUUGAUUGCCCGUCAGACUUUGAACCAUGGUGUGUCGGAAUCUAUUGUUGUUUCGAUGGCUUGUCUUUUAUUUGGGUUCUUAAUUUUCCUGAUAAAGAUCUCAUGUUUUUGCUAUGGAACCCCUUCACAAGAGAACCAAUAGUACUUCCUCGUCCAGAAUUUCCACCACAGGGAACUUUUACAUAUGGAUGGGAUAUGACUCAACUACUGAUGGCUAUAAGGUCCUUAAGACUGAUGUGGAUAGAAAUGAUGGUUGUAAAGUAUCUAGUGAAAUUCUCUCACUAAAAAAUGACUCGUGGAGUAAAAUUGAUGAACAUCCUAGUGGCAGAUGCUGUGCGUUGUAUGUAGGUCUUAUUUGCACAUGAGCAUUUCAUUGGCUCAGUUUUUCACGAUAGUUUUCUAUGAUUUCAUUUAGUAUUUCAAAUGAGGUGUACGGAACGAUACCAUUGCUGGAGCAAAUGCGUAUGGUAUCGAUGCACAACAGGGUUUGACGUUUCAGUAGUGGAAGGAAUGCUUUGUGUUUACUCUACUGAUUUCAUGGCUUGAAAGAGGUAUUGAUGAUCUUGUCAAUCUAUCGUUCCCUUCUAUGAUUAUUAAUCCAACAUUUGAAAUUAUCCAGCCCGUAUCUUGGCCAGGCAUGACCCCAGAUUUUCUGGUGGUUUUUGCAGCCAUGGCGUCGUCGGAUCACUUUGUGUGCAGGAUAUAACACAGAUCUAUGCCUCAAUUUUUGGGAACUCUCCGUAGUUUAUGUGUGAGGUUGCGGUGAAGAAAGUGAGCUGUGGGGGAGUUCCAAUGGGUGGUUUUGCACCCUUCUGUCAUUGUCCGCUGCCAAUGAUCUCCCAAAUGGAAGUUUUUCCGAUUGCAAAACCACCCUUAGUUGAUUGAUUUAUUACUUCCUUCGUUUCAUUUUUUAGAGGCUAUGAAGAUUGUUGUUUGAAGAAAAUAUCUUGGUGUGGCAGCUCUCAGAUGGAUCUGUGAGAUUUGGUGAAAAGAUCUAAUUUUGAUGUUUUUUCUCAUUCUCAUAAGGCUAACUGAUCCUUGCAGCCAUGACAGUUUUAAAGCUCUUCGGAUUUUGUAUGAGAACAGUGAAUCAGAGCCUCCCCUUUUGCCUUGAUUGUUCUAGAAGAAUGAGGCUUUUUUGA